rnacentral:rRNA from 1 species
UACGUAGGGUGCAAGCGUUAAUCGGAAUUACUGGGCGUAAAGCGCACGUAGGCGGUUUUUUAAGUCAGAUGUGAAAGCCCCGGGCUCAACCUGGGAACUGCAUUUGUGACUGCAAGGCUAGAGUACGGCAGAGGGGGAUGGAAUUCCGCGUGUAGCAGUGAAAUGCGUAGAUAUGCGGAGGAACACCAAUGGCGAAGGCAAUCCCCUGGGCCUGUACUGACGCUCAUGCACGAAAGCGUGGGGAGCAAACAGG